UGGGGAAUAUUGCACAAUGGGCGCAAGCCUGAUGCAGCCAUGCCGCGUGUGUGAAGAAGGCCUUCGGGUUGUAAAGCACUUUCAGCGAGGAGGAAGGUGGUGAGCUUAAUACGCUCAUCAAUUGACGUUACUCGCAGAAGAAGCACCGGCUAACUCCGUGCCAGCAGCCGCGGUAAUACGGAGGGUGCAAGCGUUAAUCGGAAUUACUGGGCGUAAAGCGCACGCAGGCGGUUUGUUAAGUCAGAUGUGAAAUCCCCGGGCUCAACCUGGGAACUGCAUUUGAAACUGGCAAGCUAGAGUCUCGUAGAGGGGGGUAGAAUUCCAGGUGUAGCGGUGAAAUGCGUAGAGAUCUGGAGGAAUACCGGUGGCGAAGGCGGCCCCCUGGACGAAGACUGACGCUCAGGUGCGAAAGCGUGGGGCAGCAAACAGGAUUAGAUACCCUGGUAGUCCACGCUGUAAACGAUGUCGAUUUGGAGGUUGUGCCCCUUGAGGCGUGGCUUCCGGAGCUAACGCGUUAAAUCGACCGCCUGGGGAGUACGGCCGCAAGGUUAAAACUCAAAGGAAUUGAC
rnacentral:rRNA from 1 species